AAGUCGGGAUGUAAACAGUGUAACACCAAUGUGAACAUGGCUUCAGUAAAACGCUGUCAAUGACAGAGGACUUCAGACCAAUGGUUUACAUAUACACAUCAUUGCUUCAGACACGUGAAAGAAACUAAUAUUUAGUUUUUUUAAACAACAAAUAUGAGGCUUCAUCAGAUACUCCGCAAUGCAGCAAACUUCAGGACGGUCUUUGACUUCGGCGACAGAGAGGUUGCACACUGGUUCCCCAGACAUAUGGCAAAAGGUCUGAAACAGAUGAAGGCCAGUGUGAAGAAUGUUGACUGCAUCCUAGAAAUCCACGAUGCCAGAAUCCCGUUCUCAGGUAGAAACCCUCUUUUCCAGGAUAGUCUGGACGUCAGACCUCAUCUUCUGGUGCUGAACAAGAUGGACCUGGCUGACCUGUCUGCCAAGCAUAUGAUUUUGAAACAGCUUGAAAGACAUGGAGUGAAGAAGGUCCUGUUCACAGACUGCCUCAGACAGAGAGAUGACAACGUCAAAAAGCUGGUUCCCAUGGUCACAGAAUUAAUCGAGAGCCAGCCACGCUUCCACCGAGAGGAGAACACCAACUUCUGUCUGAUGGUGAUUGGGGUGCCCAACGUUGGAAAGUCAUCACUCAUCAAUGCUCUGAGGAGAACCAACCUCAAGAAAGGUCGGGGGUCAAAAGUAGGAGGGGAACCAGGCAUUACCAAAGCAGUGUUGACUAGAAUACAGGUGUGUGAGAGACCCAUCAUCCAUCUUCUAGAUACGCCUGGUGUCCUUCCUCCGAAGAUACAGAGUCUGGAGACAGGCAUGAAGCUAGCCCUAUGUGGAACCAUCCUGGACCAUCUAGUAGGAGAAGACAUCAUGGCAGACUACCUACUGUUCUCUCUCAAUAGACUGGAGAAGUACAGUUACGUGGAGAGGUAUGAUCUCAGGGAGCCUAGUGAUGACAUCCAGCAGGUGUUGAAACAUAUCGCUGUCAAACUGGGAAAGACUCAACGAGUUAAAGCCAUCACUGGAGUGGGUAACAUCACCCUCACAGUGCCUAACUACACAGCAGCAGCCUAUGAUUUCAUCAGAGCGUUCAGGAAGGGAGAGCUGGGACAGGUCAUGCUGGACUGACCACUACCACACCACAGACUGACUACAACACAGACCACUACUACAACACAGAUGAUUGGUCUGGCAGACACACACCGUACUCACAGACUCAGGAGUCUGGUCUCUCACCAUAGAAAUCUACCUGACAGAGACCUUGUUGGAAACUCAAGAGUGCAGAAUACUGACUCAAACAAUGGAAGCAGCAGGAGAACAAAAUAUCUCUGACGGUUGACGAGCAGGGAUACCUUCUACGUCAACACCAGGACCAGCUGGCACAACUGGGGACGGCUAUGGGAGAGGUUCUUCGCAGUGGGCAACGUUUCAAACAUACCUGGGAGGCGUUGCCGUCAACUAGCGGAGGAUACUCUUCAACCAGUCGAGCCAGCACAACAGCACAUUCAGCAACCCGCUCAGGUCAGCGAUGCCCGUUUGUCCCUCCUGGAUAAAUAUGAUGGCACCCCAUCUAAAUGCCGUGGCUUCCUACUUCAGUGCUCCCUGUAUACGCACUAGAGGGGAGCUCCCACCACCGAGAGGUCCAAGGUUACCACGGUUAUUCCUUUGACUGGGCGGGUGUUAGUGGGCCAUGGCCAUCUGGGAGAGAGGAGAGGAGGAGCUAGAUUCAUAUGAGGGGUUCAUGACUCUGUUUAAAUGCAUCUUCGAUCAUCCCCCAGAUGGCAGAGAGGUGGGUGAGCGUCUACUCCAAUUACGGCAGGGGGUCCAGACUGCUGCAUAGUACACGCUCACCUUCCGGACAGUAGCAGCAUCCAGCGGCUGGAACGAGCCGGCGCUUCGUUCGCUAUUCAGAAGAGGUCUGCGCGAGGAGGUCCAGAUGGAACUGGCCUGUCGAGACGACAAGCUCUCCUUGCACGCACUCAUUGCAAUGGCCAUCCGUCAGGGUAACCUACUUCGGGAGCGUUGGUACUCUCAUCUCUUUCCUUAAGGGUGGUCCCCGUAGGUUGGUGUGGAGCCCAGCAGCCGACGAGGCCUUCUGUCUACUCAAGGGACGUUUCACCUCCGCCCCAUUGCUCAAACACCCAGAUCCCACGAUAUCCUUUGUGGUGGUGGACGCUUCAGAGUUGGGCAUUCUGGGUGUAGUUCUGUCUCAACGAGAUGGUAAUCCUCCGACCGUGGCCCCCAAUUCACAUCACGGGUAUGGAGAAGCUCGGGGUCACGGUCAGCCUCCGGGUACUGGCCUCAGUCCAACGGCAGGUGAAGAGGAUGAACCAGGAGCUGGAAUGGUUCCUAAGGAGUCACUGUCAGAACCGGCAAGGAGAGUGAGCUCGAUUCCUUCCAUGGGCAGAGUACACCCAGAACUCGCUACGUCACGCCUCCACUGGGUUUGACUCCCUACCAGUGUGUUCUGGGUUUUCAGCCGGCCCUGGCUCCGUGGCCCCGGGUUAGACCGAAUCUCCUGCGGUUGAUCUCCAGCUCGCCGUCCACCGUCAAAAGGAGCAGACCGACUGCCACCUCAGUGCGACCCCUGUGUUCCACCCUGGGGAUCGUGUCUGGCUUUCUACCAGGAACCUUCCACUCUGCCUGCCCUGCAGGAAACCGAGCCCCCGGUUUGUGAGGCCGUUCAAGGUCCUCCGGAGCGUCAACGAGGUGACGUAUAGAUUACAGCUUCCCAGUGACUACCAUAUCUCACCUUCUUUUCAUGUCUCCCU